UCCGGCAGCUAGCUCUCUGCAACUCACAUGGUCGCCCACUGAAGCCAAGCAGGGCUCCGCCCAGUCAGUACCUGGAUGGGAGACCACAUGGGAAAGCUAGAUAGCUGCCGGAA
rnacentral:rRNA from 1 species